rnacentral:lncRNA from 1 species
CAGAGACUGCCCUAUCAGAUUGCAGACAAAAAGUAAGAUGCAGUGGUGGGAGCAGAACAGGGAAUAGAAUAUGAAGGUUGAAAUCAGACUCAGGCCCACCUGUCUCCUUCAUCUGGCUUCCUUAUUUCUGUCCCUGCUGCUUCCCCUCUAGUCAUGUCAAGGUUAUGGAGCUACCUCUGAUUCUCCUUGCUCGCUUGGUCGGACAGCCUGGUGCCAGUCCUAUAGAUUAUUUGCCUGAAAUAUUUCUCUAAAUAUUUCCCCCUCUCCAUUCCCAUGGGCACCACUCCAGUUCAACUGUUUAUGACCUGUUACCUUGACUGUUGCAUAGUUUCUGUCCUGGUCACCUGCAUUCACACAGCAACUGCUUCUGAGCAUGUCUUUACCCUUUUUAGAAACGCUGAAUGGCUCCCUAGGGCUCCUUGCAUGAUCCCUCCAGAGUUCUUAGGGAUAGGGCUCAAAACUUAACUCCAUGAUUCUCCCCUUCCCAAAUGUUCUCUUCAAAUUUGGCUGGUGGACCAAAGAUGCCAGAAUGCUCAAAAAUAAAAUAAUAAGCAUAGCUUAGAAAAAUGGAUAAUAUUUGUCAUCAUUGGGUCUAUACAAUGUGCCAGGGAUUAUACUAGUCAUAUCAUGUACACUAUCUCUUUGAACCUACAUAAUGAUUUAAUGCAAUUAAAAUGCCCAUUUGAAUGAUGAGAAAACAGAAAAGAGAAGUUAAUUAAGGUAGGAGGUUAAGUACAAGGAGCUAGCAUAUGAACCCAAAUUGUUGACUUCAAAACACAACAUUUUUUGCUGGGUGUGGUGGUGUACACUUGUAAUCCCAGAGACUCAGGAGGCUGAUGCAGCAGGAUCACAAAUUCAAGGCCAGUCUCAGAAACUUAGUGAUACCCUGUCUCAAAAUAAAAAUAAAAAGGAUGGGGGAUGUGCUCAGUGGUAAAAAGCACCCCAGGUUCAAUUCCCAGUUACCCAAACCAUCCCAAACCAAACCCCAACCAAUCGACAAAUCAAACAAACAAAAACCAAAACCACAAAACAGAAAUAGCACUAUGUUUAAGUAAGGGAUAAAGAAUAUUACAGACAAGAAUUCUAGCUUGGACAAAAGUUUAUGGCAAAAAUUAAUGUUGUGUUUUUUGAAGAUCAUUCAUAAGAUCUACAUGUCAGGAAUAAUUGGAAGUACUGUGGGGUUGAGUAUUAGUUUGUGGGAGCUGUCAUGGCACAGUACCCCCAUUCCCACUGGGUAACUUAAAUAACAAAAAAGAAUUUUCUCAUAGUUCUGAAGACUGGAAAUCCAAUAUCAAGGUGCCAGCAGGUUUCAUGUCUUCUAAGUUGCCCCUCUGAUUGACAUAUACAUGGCCAUCUUCUCCCUGUGUCCUCCCGUGGCCUUUUCUCUGUGCACACAUAUCCCUGAUGGCUCUUCCUUUUCUUUUGACAACAAAAGAUUAGUGCUCAGUCUAAGCCUCAUUUUAACUUAAUUACCUCUUUAAAUGUCCUGUCUCUAA